AUUUUAUCCUUGGCGUAGCCUACAUGGUUGAUAUGUUUGGAGAGAGAGAUUGUGAAGCAAAGAUGAAAAACUCUACCAAUUUCAAAAGUUGCUGACCCGCCAUCCAUCUGUGCUCUCCCAGGACAGUGAGAAAAAGGUUGACUGGAAUCGAUCCAGAAGAGCGCCCUGCCUGAGGCUUCCAGGCUGUGAGCUCCACGAAUCGGAAGGGGAAUCAUCCCACUUCCAGGCACGUCAACAAAGUAUGUCUCAACCCCUGAUGGUGGCUGGUUGGUUAAUCUGCUCCCAGAACCGGGAGGAUUAGAGGAAGUGUUGCCGGGUCAGAGGUAAACACUCUGGAGGCCCCGUCAAGAAGGCCUUACUGAGGUCACCUUGUGCAGCUCCUGAGAUUGGCCAUGCCCAGCAGGUGGGGAGCAGUGGUCUACGGUCGAAGGGCUUCAGAGCAGGACCAUCUGCUUUUCCUGCACAACAAGCUCCCUGGCUUUCAGCCGCUCUGUUCCACCUGGAACUCAUCCACAGGGCGCUGUGGGAAAGGACUGAGCAUCAGAAGACCUGAACCUGGCCUCGACUCUGGGGCUGCCCAUCCUCCACACCCCAGUUCUGUCUCUGGAUCUAGGAAGAGCAUCUCCUGUCCUUCCCACCUAAAGGAUCAUUAGGGAAUCAAACAAGACGAUGUGUUAAGGGACUUUACACCUGCGUCACGUGAAACCGGGCAGACAGGUUAUUAUUACCAGCAUUUUAA